AUUGAACGCUGGCGGCGUGCUUAACACUUGCAAGUCGAACGAGAACGGGUUAUAGCUUGCUAUAAUUGUCAGCUAAGUGGCGCACGGGUGAGUAAUGUAUAGGUAAUAUGCCUCUUACUAAGGGAUAACAAAUGGAAACGUUUGCUAAUACCUUAUACUCCUUAUUAACAUAAGUUAAUAAGGGAAAGAUUUAUUGGUAAGAGAUUAGCCUGUAUUGUAUCAGUUAGUUGGUGGGGUAAUGGCUUACCAAGACUAUGACACAUAACUGGUUUGAGAGGAUGAUCAGUCACACUGGAACUGAGGCACGGUCCAGACUCCUACGGGAGGCAGCAGUGGGGAAUAUUGCACAAUGGACGAAAGUCUGAUGCAGCAACGCCGCGUGGAGGAUGACACAUUUCGGUGCGUAAACUCCUUUUAUAUGAGAAGAUAAUGACGGUAUUAUAUGAAUAAGCACCGGCUAACUCCGUGCCAGCCGCCGCGGUAA
rnacentral:rRNA from 1 species